rnacentral:tRNA from 1 species
GUGCCCGUAGCUCAGCCGGUAGAGCAGCGGCCUUUUAAGCCGUUGGUCACAGGUUCGAUUCCUGUCGGGCACA